AACGCUGGCGGCGUGCCUAAUACAUGCAAGUCGAGCGGACAGAUGGGAGCUUGCUCCCUGAUGUUAGCGGCGGACGGGUGAGUAACACGUGGGUAACCUGCCUGUAAGACUGGGAUAACUCCGGGAAACCGGGGCUAAUACCGGAUGCUUGUUUGAACCGCAUGGUUCAAACAUAAAAGGUGGCUUCGGCUACCACUUACAGAUGGACCCGCGGCGCAUUAGCUAGUUGGUGAGGUAAUGGCUCACCAAGGCAACGAUGCGUAGCCGACCUGAGAGGGUGAUCGGCCACACUGGGACUGAGACACGGCCCAGACUCCUACGGGAGGCAGCAGUAGGGAAUCUUCCGCAAUGGACGAAAGUCUGACGGAGCAACGCCGCGUGAGUGAUGAAGGUUUUCGGAUCGUAAAGCUCUGUUGUUAGGGAAGAACAAGUGCCGUUCAAAUAGGGCGGCACCUUGACGGUACCUAACCAGAAAGCCACGGCUAACUACGUGCCAGCAGCCGCGGUAAUACGUAGGUGGCAAGCGUUGUCCGGAAUUAUUGGGCGUAAAGGGCUCGCAGGCGGUUUCUUAAGUCUGAUGUGAAAGCCCCCGGCUCAACCGGGGAGGGUCAUUGGAAACUGGGGAACUUGAGUGCAGAAGAGGAGAGUGGAAUUCCACGUGUAGCGGUGAAAUGCGUAGAGAUGUGGAGGAACACCAGUGGCGAAGGCGACUCUCUGGUCUGUAACUGACGCUGAGGAGCGAAAGCGUGGGGAGCGAACAGGAUUAGAUACCCUGGUAGUCCACGCCGUAAACGAUGAGUGCUAAGUGUUAGGGGGUUUCCGCCCCUUAGUGCUGCAGCUAACGCAUUAAGCACUCCGCCUGGGGAGUACGGUCGCAAGACUGAAACUCAAAGGAAUUGACGGGGGCCCGCACAAGCGGUGGAGCAUGUGGUUUAAUUCGAGCACGCGAAGAACCUUACCAGGUCUUGACAUCCUCUGACACCCCUAGAGAUAGGGCUUCCCCUUCGGGGGCAGAG
rnacentral:rRNA from 1 species